UUUUGCUUUUUAGACAACUUGUUUAUCUGGUUGUGCUUUUUACCUAUGAGAAGGAAAUUUUCAUUUAUAUAAGAAAAGCUCUUAAAUUUUAUUAAGCAUAAAUAUAAAUAUAAACUACAAAAACCACCGCCUGCUUAAGACAACAACAUUACCUAAGUGUCAACUGUAGCACUGUGGCCAAUGACAUUUCCGAAAUUUCUACAUUGUUAUGAACAUGGUAAGUAACAAUAUUGUUAAACGAUAGAAACAUGGCUAUGUAAAACAAUAAAAAUAGUAGUUAUCAGACGGGACCGUAACUAACACUGCUAGUGGCAAAUGUCUGAUCGGUUUCAUUUUUAACAUUUGUUUCGCUAAAACGAAAAAGAAGAAAUUCAUUGACCAUAACCUAUCGUAAUUAACCUACGUCCUAGCCGCGUUUUAUUUGUUUCUUAUUUUCCUAUACCAAUUUGAAAAUGUAGGAACAAAAAAAAGUUUAGUGGAAAACAAAUAACUUGAUAUAUCUGGGCAAGAGGUUGGCUAACUGUUCUGGAACAUGACGACCACCGCGACCAUAAAUAUUGACACCGACGAAGAAAUAAAAACUGCUGAAAUUGUUCCAUAAAUAUACCAUUUAUUUCCCCGCAAUUUUUAGACAAUAUUUAGACUGCAACACAGUCAUUUUAAGUUGUCCAUGGAACGCCGUGUUUCGUUUUUAGUUCUUCGUCACAUUCUCUCCCAAGAAAACUGUGCAUACGUCGUUUCACACAAAUGGGAAAUUUGUUAUUGAACAUAGUCGAAAUUGUACCCCCUUAAAAUACAAUAUAUUAAAAAUGUCGUAUUGUUGCGCUAAUAGUUUUUCCAAAAAUUCGCUUUAUAAUACGUCAGUGCGAACGGUUCGGUAAAAUAUUUCCAAGCAUUUUCUAAAAAGUAAAGAGGAGUUUAUAAAAAAGAAACUGCUUGAAUACACUGUACAGGAGCAGAGAAACAGGAACCAAAAUGGUAAAGAUCUUGAAAAACGACGAGGACAUGGAUAGAAGCUGAAAAUUUAGCUAGGCUUGAAGCUUUUGAUAGAUAAUUAACUAGAUUGUAUGUAAAAAUGCCUCCCUUACACUCUGUGGGUUGAAAGGGACUAAAUACUAGAGUUGUGUCAAUCGCGAUUAAUUCGGUCACUUUGAUUCAAUUACUUCAUAGGAUCGAAAGACCGAACUCCGCUUGUUCGUAACGAUUCGAUCACUUUUGCCGCUGUCGCUGCCGCCCCGACCGGUCUGAAGUGACCGAAUAUAGGACGACCGUACCAAAACAUAUCGAAUUCGCCUUGCGGAAUACGAUUGAUUUAAAUGGUUUAAGAUUUAAAUAGACCGCGGAAAAGGAAUGGCAGUAUUGUUAUAAUUAUUCUAUAGUAUCGACAUCUAUUGGUAGAUUUGCUAAUGUGUUGAAUUGAAUAUUGAAUGAAAUAUCUAUUUCCGCACAGGUAUUUAAUUUAUACAAAUUAAUAUACUACUAGUACAACCCAAUACGUAGCACCUAUUUUGAUAAAAUCAUGAUACAAUAAAGAGCAGAACAUAGCUAAAUAUUAUACCAACUAGAACAGAAAACAUGACAUAUAGACACAACAACGAUUGGAACUCAAAUGAAUCUGAAUCGGUCUUUCGGACUCUUCGGAUUCAGUGACUAUUGCCACUUAUGUUGGCAACAAAAAGUAUUGAUAUGAACGAUUGAUUGAAAUGAUUCGGUCUUUUUCGAAAUCAGUCACUGAUUGAUUCGUCCCUCGUAAAAUGGACGAUUGACACAACACUACUAGAUACGGUGUUUUUCCAUCGUCCCUCAGUCAUAUUUAUUAUGUAAUGACUCAUACCUAGCGUUUCACAGACUCGUGAUGUAUGAAAUAUCGGCUUGGUGAGCGAAUUGAUUGUAAAUGCGGUUUAUACGAGGUGAUUAAAUUAGGAAUGUGCAAGCCACGCGGUGCU